rnacentral:rRNA from 1 species
AUUGAACGCUGGCGGCAGGCCUAACACAUGCAAGUCGAACGAGUGGCGGACGGGUUAGUAAUGUCUGUGAAUCUUCCUGAUGGAGGGGGAUAACUACUGGAAACGGUAGCUAAUACCGCAUACCAUCAGAUUGGCCCAGAUGGGAUUAGCUAGUUGGUGGGGUAAAGGCUCACCAAGGCGACUAUCCCUAGCUGGUCUGAGAGGAUGACCAGCCACACUGGAACUGAGACACGGUCCAGACUCCUACGGGAGGCAGCAGUGGGGAAUAUUCGGCAAUGGACGAAAGUCUGACCGAGCAAUGCCGCGUGAGUGAAGAAGGUUUUCGGAUUGUAAAACUCUGUAAUUAGAGAAGCGGUAUCUAACCAGAAAGCAACGGCUAACUACGUGCCAGCAGCCGCGGUAAUAC